AGGUUCGGCCGGGAUUUGAACCCGGGACCUCUCGCACCCUAAGCGAGAAUCAUACUGCUACACCACCGAACC
rnacentral:tRNA from 13 species